rnacentral:rRNA from 1 species
AGAGUUUGAUCCUGGCUCAGGACGAACGCUGGCGGUGUGCCUAAAACAUGCAAGUCGAACGAGAUCUUCGGAUCUAGUGGCGAACGGCGGAGUAAGACAUGAGCAACGUGCCCUGAAGUCUGGGAUAUACAGAGGAAACUCUGGGUAAUACCGGAUGUGUCGCGAGGAGGUCAUCCUUCUUGCGGUAAACGGAUUUAUUCGCUUCAGGAGCGGCUCAUGCCCCAUCAGGUAGUUGGUAGGGUAAUGGCCUACCAAGCCGACGACGGGUAGCGGGUCUGAGAGGAUGAUCCGCCCGAGUGGGACUGAGACACGGCCCACACACCUACGGGUGGCAGCAGUUGGGAAUCUUGCACAAUGGGGGAAACCCUGAUGCAGCGACACCGCGUGGAGGAUGACGGAUCUAGGUCUGUAAACUCCUUUUGCCAAGAAAGACUUAGGACGGUACUUGGCGAAUAAGCUCCGGCUAACUACGUGCCAGCAGCCGCGGUAAUACGUAGGGAGCGAGCGUUGUCCGGAUUUACUGGGCGUAAAGGGCGCGUAGGCGGCCUGUUAAGUGUGGUGUGAAAUCUCUGGGCUCAACCCAGAAACUGCACCGCAUACUGGCAGGCUAGAGAGAUGCAGAGGUAAGUAGAAUUCCUGGUGUAACGGUGACAUGUGUAGAUAUCAGGAGGAAUACCGAUGGCGAAGGCAGCUUACUGGGCAUUUUCUGACGCUGAGGCGCGAAAGCGUGGGUAGCAAACAGAAUUAGAUACCCUGGUAGUCC